UCAGAAACUUCUGACACAUUUCAAGAUAGAAGAAACCAACAGGAGAUGGGAUCAUUUUGUCCUCCACACAAGGUUGGAUCUCAUUAUUUUUCCUCCUGCUGGUGAAGAUGAUCAGCCUUUAUUUCCCUGGAUAAGUUCAAUUCAUCUUUAAAUUGAGGUAAAAUGUUAGCUAUCCAACCGCCAUCUGGCACUGACCCUUUCUCAAAUGAUUGCAAAUGUGGAGGAGCACCUCAGCUAUCUCUCCCUGAGACUCUUCUAAAAUAUACAGGUGUAAUCUGUCUGGACCAGUUGCCAUGUACUCUUCAAGUUUAAUUGUGUGUUUAAUACUUCACUUCUUAUUUUAAAUGCAUUUGUUCCAUUUCUCAUCAUCUAAUGUUGCAAGAACAAACAAGACAAAAAGGUUUCUGGGAAGUUAUUUGGUGCCGGUUCUCAUUUCUCUUGUAAAAUUCCUCAUGAUUUCUCAUCAUUCAUAGGUUGUGAUUUAUGGAUGUUGUAGAAAUGGGGGAUUUAAGCAAAGCAGGUGUCAGCCUAAUGGACCACAGUAGAAACUUGGGCAAUUUGUACUUCUGUCUUUAUAUUCGCUGUCUGUAUACCACUGAAUCAUGUGAAGCAGGACCGACUACCCAGGAACGCUGGGAUUUGUAGCACUGGAAGAUACAGUCAUUCUUUUGCUACUUUGAAAGGUUCCUGCCAUGUCGAGAACAUAAAAGAGGUUUCCUUCUGUUUUUUUUACUGGCUCACUGAAGAGACAGAAGGGAUUUACUGAAUCCCUUGGCUCUGCUAUCAAAGUUCUCAAAACUUCCUUGCAGGAGCCCUUUUCAAUUGUGUUAGUAAUCACAGACCACCACCAUUUAAAUUAUAAUCCCAUGUAAGACUCAGAGGAUGAAAGUGCAAUAGGUAAAGAGUGUUUCAUUACUGCUGUCAGUAAGUGUUUACAUGCAGAUACCAGUAGGAUGGGUGGACCUGUGCCCCACUGAAAAGUCUGAUGUUUAACACACACUCUGGACCUUGCAACUGUCAAUCAUUCACUCAACACCCUCCAGCCAUUGCUCCCUUGCCACUCAGAAUAAAGGGUGCCAUCAUAUUUUUGAUUUUUACAAGUAUAUGACAAGUGAUUUAUAUCUAUGCGCAUAUGAAUUUGUAUCAUACAUGACUGCAAAUUAAUUAUGGAUAGAUG